AUUGAACGCUGGCGGCAUGCCUUACACAUGCAAGUCGAACGGCAGCACGGGAGCAAUCCUGGUGGCGAGUGGCGAACGGGUGAGUAAUAUAUCGGAACGUGCCCAGUCGUGGGGGUUAACGCAGCGAAAGCUGUGCUAAUACCGCAUACGAUCUACGGAUGAAAGCGGGGGAUCGCAAGACCUCGCGCGAUUGGAGCGGCCGAUAUCAGAUUAGCUAGUUGGUGAGGUAAAGGCUCACCAAGGCGACGAUCUGUAGCUGGUCUGAGAGGACGACCAGCCACACUGGAACUGAGACACGGUCCAGACUCCUACGGGAGGCAGCAGUGGGGAAUUUUGGGCAAUGGGCGAAAGCCUGAUUCAGCAAUGCCGCGUGCAGGAUGAAGGCCUUCGGGUUGUAAACUGCUUUCGUACGGAACGAAACGGUGAGCUCUAAUACAGUUUGCUAAUGACGGUACCGUAAGAAUAAGCACCGGCUAACUACGUGCCAGCCGCCGCGGUAA
rnacentral:rRNA from 1 species